rnacentral:piRNA from 1 species
UAGGAAUAUUACAAUGAUGGUGAGUUCUGA